AAGCACACAGGAGAUGCUGUCAUAGGUCGUCCUGUACUUUUCAUCAUGGUACCUGAUGAUACAGUCUUUGUUUUUUGGACAAUGCGUGGACGUAGAGGAGGGCUGAGACUAGUGUUACAUGUUGUGUAAUUAACAGCUUUUUUAUAAGUAGACUGUGAUGACACUUCAACUGCAAGUUUUUUUAAGUCUUGUGAUAAUUGGUUUUGACAGGAUGAAAGUCACGUGUGUCAUCAAUUCACAGCUGAAGUCAAUGUGGGUCGUGGUGUUCCUUUCAGUUCAAUGCCUUGGAACUGAAUUUGUUCCUGUGCAGAUUCAGAAAGGGAUCGUCUGUUCAUUUAUAGCUACACACACACACGAUUAAGGAAAAUCAAAUCAGGGGACCGCUGGAUAACAUGCAUGACUGGCCAAGCUACAAACAACUGCAGCCCUCACUGUUCCCCAAGGAACUUCCAAAUCCUCACAUACCUUUAUUGAACAAAAUCUCUUCUACUUUAAUAAGUGCUGGUUAAACCACUGUAAAAAGAUCAAUGGCAAACUAAAAGCAAACAGCAUAAAAUUCACACAGGAGGCAGAGCAGAGGUCCACAAUAGAGCUUUAUUUUGUCAUUCAUCAAAAUAACAAACUUAGUAUCUCUGCAAGCUACUGUAACAAACUCAAUCAGAAGUUAACAAAAAAAAAAAAAAAACUAAACAAACAGGUACACCUCUAUUUACACCAUGGUUUCUGAUGUACGCUCAAUCACCUGCACCUCAUCACUGGGGGCAAAUGCCAAAUAAGACAUGAGGCAGCUUCUACAUGGUGCUGUGCCAACAGUAGCAGACAACACAUGGCCUAUGUAGUCAGUAGGGGAGAUGGACAGUACAAGGCUAAUCCAAUGUUGAGUACCAUUGUGUGCACUUCAAAAUAGAAGCCUUUGAUCCCUCUCGGCGCUUUUAUUUUAAUGACAAUACAGAUUUGAUCUGAGCUUAUCUGAACAUUAAGAGGCAUUGGCUGAUGCUCCUCAGUGCUUUGGGGAAUUAACAGGGGACACUUUAAAUUUAAAAUGGUAAAACAUUUCAUAUGUAUUCUAACAGGAAAAAAAAAAAAAAAAAAAAA